rnacentral:rRNA from 1 species
UGAACGCUAGCGGCAGGCUUAACACAUGCAAGUCGAGGGGUAUAGUAGCAAUACUAGAGACCGGCGCACGGGUGCGUAACGCGUAUGCAAUCUACCUUUCACAGAGGGAUAGCCCAGAGAAAUUUGGAUUAAUACCUCAUAGUAUUAUAGUAUGGCAUCAUAUUAUAAUUAAAGUCACAACGGUGAAAGAUGAGCAUGCGUCCCAUUAGUUAGUUGGUAAGGUAACGGCUUACCAAGACUACGAUGGGUAGGGGUCCUGAGAGGGAGAUCCCCCACACUGGUACUGAGACACGGACCAGACUCCUACGGGAGGCAGCAGUGAGGAAUAUUGGACAAUGGGCGCAAGCCUGAUCCAGCCAUGCCGCGUGCAGGAAGACGGUCCUAUGGAUUGUAAACUGCUUUUGCACAGGAAGAAACAACGCUACGUGUAGCGUCUUGACGGUACUGUGAGAAUAAGGAUCGGCUAACUCCGUG